rnacentral:rRNA from 1 species
UACGUAGGGGGCAAGCGUUAUCCGGAUUUACUGGGUGUAAAGGGGGCGCAGACGGCGAUGCAAGCCAGGAGUGAAAGCCCGGGGCCCAACCCCGGGACUGCUCUUGGAACUGCGUGGCUGGAGUGCAGGAGGGGCAGGCGGAAUUCCUGGUGUAGCGGUGAAAUGCGUAGAUAUCAGGAGGAACACCGGUGGCGAAGGCGGCCUGCUGGACUGCAACUGACGUUGAGGCCCGAAAGCGUGGGGAGCAA